rnacentral:rRNA from 1 species
GCCCUUCAGCAGCCGCGGUAAUACGUAGGGUCCAAGCGUUAAUCGGAAUUACUGGGCGUAAAGCGUGCGCAGGCGGUUGUGCAAGACCGAUGUGAAAUCCCCGAGCUUAACUUGGGAAUUGCAUUGGUGACUGCACGGCUAGAGUGUGUCAGAGGGGGGUAGAAUUCCACGUGUAGCAGUGAAAUGCGUAGAGAUGUGGAGGAAUACCGAUGGCGAAGGCAGCCCCCUGGGAUAACACUGACGCUCAUGCACGAAAGCGUGGGGAGCAAACAGGAUUAGAUACCCUGGUAGUCCACGCCCUAAACGAUGUCAACUAGUUGUUGGGGAUUCAUUUCCUUAGUAACGUAGCUAACGCGUGAAGUUGACCGCCUGGGGAGUACGGUCGCAAGAUUAAAACUCAAAGGAAUUGACGGAAGGGC